GAUGAACGCUAGCUACAGGCUUAACAUAUGCAAGUCGAGGGGCAGCAUGGUCUUAGCUUGCUAAGGCCGAUGGCGACCGGCGCACGGGUGAGUAACACGUAUCCAACCUGCCGUCUACUCUUGGACAGCCUUCUGAAAGGAAGAUUAAUACAAGAUGGCAUCAUGAGUCCGCAUGUUCACAUGAUUAAAGGUAUUCCGGUAGACGAUGGGGAUGCGUUCCAUUAGAUAGUAGGCGGGGUAACGGCCCACCUAGUCUUCGAUGGAUAGGGGUUCUGAGAGGAAGGUCCCCCACAUUGGAACUGAGACACGGUCCAAACUCCUACGGGAGGCAGCAGUGAGGAAUAUUGGUCAAUGGGCGCAGGCCUGAACCAGCCAAGUAGCGUGAAGGAUGACUGCCCUAUGGGUUGUAAACUUCUUUUAUAAAGGAAUAAAGUCGGGUAUGUAUACCCGUUUGCAUGUACUUUAUGAAUAAGGAUCGGCUAACUCCGUG
rnacentral:rRNA from 1 species